rnacentral:rRNA from 1 species
GAUGAACGCUGGCGGCGUGCCUAAUACAUGCAAGUCGAGCGAACAGACGAGGAGCUUGCUCCUCUGACGUUAGCGGCGGACGGGCGAGUAACACGUGGAUAACCUACCUAUAAGACUGGGAUAACUUCGGGAAACCGGAGCUAAUACCGGAUAAUAUAUUGAACCGCAUGGUUCAAUAGUGAAAGACGGUUUUGCUGUCACUUAUAGAUGGAUCCGCGCCGCAUUAGCUAGUUGGUAAGGUAACGGCUUACCAAGGCAACGAUGCGUAGCCGACCUGAGAGGGUGAUCGGCCACACUGGAACUGAGACACGGUCCAGACUCCUACGGGAGGCAGCAGUAGGGAAUCUUCCGCAAUGGGCGAAAGCCUGACGGAGCAACGCCGCGUGAGUGAUGAAGGUCUUUGGAUCGUAAAACUCUGUUAUUAGGGAAGAACAAAUGUGUAAGUAACUAUGCACGUCUUGACGGUACCUAAUCAGAAAGCCACGGCUAACUACGUG